rnacentral:rRNA from 1 species
CUUGUUGGUGAGGUAACGGCUCACCAAGGCGACGAUCCCUAGCUGGUCUGAGAGGAUGACCAGCCACACUGGAACUGAGACACGGUCCAGACUCCUACGGGAGGCAGCAGUGGGGAAUAUUGCACAAUGGGCGCAAGCCUGAUGCAGCCAUGCCGCGUGUAUGAAGAAGGCCUUCGGGUUGUAAAGUACUUUCAGCGGGGAGGAAGGUGUUGUGGUUAAUAACCACAGCAAUUGACGUUACCCGCAGAAGAAGCACCGGCUAACUCCGUGCCAGCAGCCGCGGUAAUACGGAGGGUGCAAGCGUUAAUCGGAAUUACUGGGCGUAAAGCGCACGCAGGCGGUCUGUCAAGUCGGAUGUGAAAUCCCCGGGCUCAACCUGGGAACUGCAUUCGAAACUGGCAGGCUUGAGUCUUGUAGAGGGGGGUAGAAUUCCAGGUGUAGCGGUGAAAUGCGUAGAGAUCUGGAGGAAUACCGGUGGCGAAGGCGGCCCCCUGGACAAAGACUGACGCUCAGGUGCGAAAGCGUGGGGAGCAAACAGGAUUAGAUACCCUGGUAGUCCACGCCGUAAACGAUGUCUACUUGGAGGUUGUGCCCUUGAGGCGUGGCUUCCGGAGCUAACGCGUUAAGUAGACCGCCUGGGGAGUACGGCCGCAAGGUUAAAACUCAAAUGAAUUGACGGGGGCCCGCACAAGCGGUGGAGCAUGUGGUUUAAUUCGAUGCAACGCGAAGAACCUUACCUGGUCUUGACAUCCACAGAACUUUCCAGAGAUGGAUUGGUGCCUUCGGGAACUGUGAGACAGGUGCUGCAUGGCUGUCGUCAGCUCGUGUUGUGAAAUGUUGGGUUAAGUCCCGCAACGAGCGCAAC